rnacentral:misc_RNA from 1 species
CGGGCUAUCCGCCCUACAACAUCGAGCGCACCGGCGAGAACAAUUUCCGGAUUUCGGUCGCCGUCUCCGGCUUUUCGCAGAAUGAAAUCUCGAUCGUCGCCAAGGAAAACACCCUGACGAUCAAGGGCGAGAAAGCCGCCAACGAGAACAGCCAGUGUGCUUUAUCGCGGCAUCGCGUCGCGCGCCUUCGAGCGCCAGUUCCAGCUUGCCGACUUCGUGCAGGUGAAGAACGCCACGCUCGAGAACGGCCUGCUUCACGUCGAUCUCGUCCGCGAGAUUCCCGAAGCGAAGAAGC